UACGAAGGGGGCUAGCGUUGUUCGGAAUUACUGGGCGUAAAGCGUAUGCAGGCGGACUUUUAAGUCGGGGGUGAAAUCCCGAGGCUCAACCUCGGAACUGCCUUCGAUACUGGAAGUCUUGAGUCCGGGAGAGGUGAGUGGAACUCCGAGUGUAGAGGUGAAAUUCGUAGAUAUUCGGAAGAACACCAGUGGCGAAGGCGGCUCACUGGCCCGGUACUGACGCUGAGAUACGAAAGCGUGGGGAGCGAACAGG
rnacentral:rRNA from 1 species